rnacentral:rRNA from 1 species
GACGGGAGCGAGGGGAGCGUCAGCGUUCGGCGGAGCGGCCGCUGGGACGUGGAGGCGUUCCGGGGUGGCGGUCACUGGAAGGGGGGGCCCGGAGGCCCUGGAGGUACCGCGGCGGCCGGGAGUAAGAGCGGCCUAGGCCGGCGGAGGUGCGGUUUAGGCGGCCUUUACCUAGGCAGGGCCGGUCUAGGCGGGCCUAGGCUGGCCCGGGGCGGCAGCAGCGGUGGCCUCGCGGUGGGGCGAGUUGGACGUCGCGGUGGAAGGUGGCCGUCCGGAACCUCUUGGAGUAGAGAGACUAAAGGAGAGUUAAAAACGUCCUACCCGUUCUUGGUCUAUAUCAUCAAUGUAGAUUUCCCUACUUAAAUCUCCUUCUACGUCGUUCUUAACUAGCUCAUUUUUCCGUUGAAGCCGUACGGUUACCCUGGAAAAGUCAUUCACGAAACUGAGACAAAAAAGUACCGGUACACACCUUAUUAACGGUUACUAUAGUUUUAAUUCGAGGAGGGCACUUACUUGUUCGUUUACAAGAAUUUGAUAUCCAUAUAAAAAAGAUAAAGAACUACUUUUACAAGGUCAUAGUACAUGAUAGGCGCAAGUGAAUUAGUAGGCACAAGACGAGGGCGGCGGCCAACACACACACACCGUACCCACCGUAGAUGAAACGGUAAUAUCCUUCAUUUCGAUACUCGCCAAAAGAAGAAAAUAAUUGCCGGUUAACAAAAUAAUGAAACACGUUCCUUAGGUUAAAGAAUCGCCAAAAUAUAAUAACUUACGUCUGAACGUCAAAUUGAAAAAUCGUUCGAAAACAAGAUGCAGUUAGAUCGUACCAAUAUACAACAACUUACAACUGAAGUAAUACUCAAAGACUGAUAGAUGAACAAGUACAAAUAUGCCUACUCCACGACAGUCCCCACCGACUCUGGUAGUUCUUGAAACAGGACUAGAUGGUACAACUGUAGUGGUUCCAAGGACUGAAGUUGAGGUACAUGCUCGACAUGCUGGGCAGUUGCCACUACAAGAAGAAGGCGUUGUUCGUGUAGUACUAACUAGAACCCUGUUCUUUGUUGUUGUUCUAGUUGACCCGUUACUUUCUGUUCCUUCUCAAACAACUGUAGCACCUCUGACAGAUAUCUCCUCGAGCAUUCCGACAGCAGACCACUAACGAGGGUACCUAAUGAGGUGGUUUAUGUCAUCGGUAUGUUUUUUUGUAACAACCCGUGGGAACUACUGAUUUUGUCUCUCUCACCCUAGUAGUUAAGGAACCAUAGAGAUAGGAGUUGGUUUGAUGCCUGGUAGGUUGGAAGCCAGUCGCCCACUAACUACCUGGUUAAUACGGUCAUUACAGGAAUUAAAGUCUCUUCUACGUUUUGUCUAUUGUACCUACUCGAACGUAUGAACGGCCAUCACAUCGAAAGACGACUUGGUAUAUAAGACGGUCCUCUUCAAAGUCACUGGUUACCUUCGAAACUACAUAAAAAAAGUUCGUUUUCAUUAGCAGAUAAUAGGUACAGUCCAAAGCUGAGUUUAACACCACGAAAACAAGAUACGUUAAAAUAAAAGAAUGAUUACGGUACAAGACCGUAAGGAAUAGAAAAUACGGACUACACUCAUAAUCACGAUUAUUCUUGAUAAAAAAGGGUUACCAUUUAGAUGGAAAAGG